GACUGGGAAACUGCUUUCUUCAAGACGCUGAAGGUGACAAGCAUAAGCAGUGAUAUCAUGAUCUUCUUUGAAGCAAGUAUCCGCAAGUUCACCUUCAUGCCAUGGUAACUCAUGAGCUUCAGUGUUGCUCUAAUUACUGACAUAAGCCAAGAUACAACGGACAAGAACACCACUUUCAUUGUGUCUGCAGGUCCAUUCACACUUCUUGUGCCUCCCGACACCUCGACACAGGACCAAGCAGCGCCUUGAUUAUCGGUGGUUCCACUAUGAUUGAGGCCAAGUUUCUCGUUCAACCAACAUGAUAAAGUCACAAGCAGCUUUGCAAGCCAUGCAAUCUCAUCACUGGAGACUGGUCGCAUCAACCAGUCACCCCUGUAUUUCUUACCAGUUUGCUUCUUGUUUCGUAUCAAACUGUUAGUAUUUUACAGACUCUAAGAUGUAAUGUCUGAAGAGUUUUCUAGAUCCAUUUUGAGGAUCAUACAUCUGUACUAUAAAAGAAAGAUCAUGUAAUGCAUUUCAUAAGAUGAAAUCAGUUCAAUAAAAUCUUUUUUAGUAAUCAUAUACUUUCAAUUACAACAGGUGGUAUCAAGAGCACAAGUCUAUCCAUUUCGGCACAAACAUUCUCUACACUAUGACAACAUUCAGCACUAUCUCUGCAGAGUCAUAAAAAAUAUCAAAUAGAUACUUUCUAAUAUCUUUUCGAGAAGUAAACUUUGUUUUUCAUUGAGUUUCACACAUUUUUCUUGGCUGUUAGUAUAAUCAACUAAAAGGCUAUGAAUUCUAGUAUUUUUUUAUAAUAUAUUCAGAUUUUAAGAAAUUUAUUUACUAUUUAUUUUUAAUUUUACAACUAUUUUGUUUCAUUUAUAUCAAAUAAAUAAUAAAUAAAUUUCUUAAAAUCUAAAUAUAUUAUCAUAAAUACUACUCCCUCCGUCCCUCCCAUUUCUUUACACUUUCCCUUUUGGGAUGUCCCAUCCAUUUCUUUACAUUUCAAAACUUAUCCAAAAUAGUCAAUUGGUCCCACCACUUCUUCACUUUUCUUUCCUUUUCACACUACUUUUACUCCACUAUCUUCUUUUUAUACAUUAAAAAUCAAUGGGUCCCACCACUUCACCCACUUUUCUUUCUCUUUUCCACUACUUUAUACAUAUUUCUUAACCUCCGUGCCCAACCCAAACAAUAAGAAAUGGGAGGGACGGGAGGAGUAUAAUUCAUAGCCUUUCAUUUGAUUAUACUAACAGCCAAGAAAAAUGUGUGGAACUCAAUGGAGAAUAAAGUUUACUUUUUGAACGGAUAUUAGAAGUAUCUAUUUGAUAUUUCUUAUGACUUUAAUGAUUCAAAUGAGACCAAAAAUUUCCAAGUGAUCCACCUGAUAUUUUCUAGUGCAAAAAGUGACCUAGUUGAUAAUUAACCCAAAUGAAAACUGCCUUACGAGCUUAUGACUUGUGGGAUCUUGUCGAGAAUGAGUUCCAAAAUCUGCAGAUCCUCAAGCUUCCCCACAAUCAUCCAGGUCAUCGACAAUUUCAGUGAAUGAAUCGCUCAAAAGGAACGCAGAUGCACUAGCAAAAACAACAAGCCGUUGCUGAUUAUAUUUUUCCCAGAAUCAUGAAUACUACUUCUGCAAAACAAGCUUGGGAGACAUUACAAGAUGAAUAAAUUCCAAGGCACUGCAAAAGUUUGAACAAUCAAACUUCAAAGCCUGCGAAGAGAAUUUGAGAAUAUCCGAAUGAAAGACACGAGUUAUUGGAGUUGUGAAUCAGAUGGAAGACCUUUGGCGACAACAUUUCAGAUCAAAGAGUCAUUAAAAAAUUGUUAAUUUCUCUCACAAAUAAGUAUGAUUCUAUUGUUGAAAUUAUAGGAGAAUCAAAAGACAUCUCUAUACUUUCUAUCACUGAACUUGUUGGUUCAUUACAAGUAACAAGCUCAUGAAUAACAAAUCUCUCGGCGAAUGUCGAAGGUGCUUUACAGUCACAACCUAGGAAGCAUGAGUGCAGGUGCGGGUACUGGGGUGCACAAUACGGGGAUACGGGAAUUCGGCAAAUUUAAAAAUAUGGGGAUUCGGGUGCGGGGGAUUCGGCAAUUAUUAAUAUAUUAAAAAUAUAUUUUAUACAUGUAUUUGAAGAGUUAUAUUCAUAUUUAAACUAAAUAAAUGAAUAAAUAAGUUCAAUAUCCUUAACAAUAUACAAUAUAAUUAUUUAAUAACACAAUUAUUGCAUUAUAAUGUAGUUAAGUGAUAGAGUAUUCAAUUAAUCACAGAAUUAAUCAUUAAAAAGAAUCCCUAAGAAUCACCGAAUAUCGAAGAAUCCCAAAAAUCGAGUGUGCGGUGCGGCGAGUGAGUGAAGUAUCCCUGCUUUUUAGGUCACAACACAAAAACUGGCCUCCAUCCAAAGGUUGAAAAUUUAGUAAAGGAAAAAAUGUUAGCAACAGCUUCAAGGAAGAUGCAAGGAAAUCUAAAUUCUACUGCAAAUUGUACAAGACUGUCGUAGUGCUAGUUAAUCCAAAGGCAAAACACCUUAGAUCUAGGAAGUACCGGAAGUACGGUACGCAAAUACGGGGAUUCGGGAAAAUGAGGAUACAGGUAUGGGGAUACGACAUACAUAAAAAAUAUUUGUAUUAUAUAUAUUAUAUAUUUAUUUAUAUAUAGCAAAACUAAAACUAACAUUCAAAUUAAAUCAAAGUACAUAAAAAUCAGCCACCAAGUCACCAACUAUAUACACAUAACCUCACACAUAAAUAUUAUCUAUAUUUUAACCAUAAACUCAUAAUUAAGAAAAUUAUGAGUCAAAGCAGGGAAGAACUUACCAAAGACGUAAAGAGGAUGGAAGAACUGGGAAGGGAAAUGGUUGAACAUUGUGCCGGUCUUCCGCUAGCUAUAGUCGUUUUGGGUGGAAUUCUUGUAACAAAACCGUCGUUGAUAGAGUGGGAGAAGGUAUAUCGUGAUAGUAAAUCAUCCCUCAAGGCGGGGAGAGGAUUGGAAGAAGCCUAUCAAAGGGAAAUAUUAAGUUUUUUAGUUUGGAGCUACAAUGAUUUACCCCCUCAGUUGAAGCCAUGCUUUUUAUAUUUAUCUAAGUUUGGUGAUAAUAAAUAUAUAGAAGUGGGGACUUUGUAUCAGCUGUGGAUCGCCGAAGGAAUGAUACUCUCGAGUGACAAAAGGGAAGGAGAAACAAUGAUUCAAGUGGCUGAAUCAUACAUGGGAGAACUAGUCCACAGGAGUAUGGUUCAAGUGAGAUUUAACAAUGUGAAAUCAUCACCUACAAAGUUUGAAGAUUGUUCUCUGCAUGACCUUAUGCGAGAUAUGUCUUUAAUACAAGCAAAAGCAGAAGAUUUUUUUGAAGAUAUACAUUCCAAAGUGCAAAUGAGUUUCAUCUCAAAUCUACUGCAGAUUCAAGAAACACAACUCGACUUGUGAUUAAUUUGGAUGAGGAAUAUUCUAGGAAAAAAGUUAAUUACUACUUCUCCAAGAAACGCGAUAAAAAAUGCUAUCGAUCAAUUUUACUCCUCGGUCAGUUUGGAGCGAGAAGUUUGCCACGGUCGCUCGGGUCACAUGUUGCCAAUUUUAGGUUCCUAAAAGUGUUUUCAGUGGAGAAAUAUACCAAUUUUUCUGGUGCAUUUUCCCAUAUUAAUUUUGGAAGAGCAUUAGGGGCCCUUGUUUACUUGCGAUAUCUUAGUGUAAGGGGCACUAAUUUGUUGGUUUUUCCUUCUAUACAAAAGUUGGUACUGUUACAAACUCUUAGAUUGCAUACAUGCGAUGAUAUGUAUGCUUUACCAUGGUUGUCAAGAGAUGUUCUGGUGAAGCUCGAUUGUUUGCGGCACCUGUAUUUGCCUAAAUUUAAAGUUGACGUUUUGGUAAGGAAAUCGAAAUUACGGUUUAAUGGGUUGAGCAAGUUAGAGACCCUGGAGAACUUUGACACUACUUGGUGUGAGGUUAAGGAUCUACGUGAACUAAUCAAUCUUCGGAAACUAAUGGUAACAGUGAGAGGUAGCUGUGAUAUUCUGGAAGAAAUGAUGAAAAACUUGGAUGAUAUAGCCUCCUCACCAUCUUCAUGUCUGAGCUACUUGGGUGUUGCUAUUAGUAAUUGUCAUCUCGAGCUGAACAAUGGUCUUACUAUCUUAAAACAAUUGGUAUAUGCUGAAAAUUUGAACCUUCGGGAUUUGAAAAUAUAUGGGCGUAUCCCAGAGGUGGGUCUAAUAUUUCCGCUUCAAUAUGUAUCUACAAUUGGUAUUACAAGUUUAACUUUAGCGAGUUCAUGCCUAGAAGAAGACCCGAUGCCAAUACUGGAAAUGCUUCCAAUGUUGGGUGUUCUCUGUUUGUUUAAGGAUACAUAUGUGGGGAAGGAGAUGGUGUGCUCCGCAACCUGUUUUCCUAAACUCACCUCUCUUUAUUUGCAAGAGUUCCCAAACCUUGAAAAAUGGAGGGUGGAGAAAGGAAGCAUGCCCAUGCUUUCAUACUUGCGUAUUGAAAGAUGUAACAAGUUGGAGGAGCUUCCCGAAGGCCUAGUGUUCCUCAAGUCCCUUCAAGUACUAGAUAUAUUUCAUAUGCUUCAAGAUUUUAAUGAUAGGCUUAAAAGGCAUGAUGGUGAAGAGGGACCCGACUUUCACAAAAUUUCUCAUGUCGAUAGACUCAUUAUUGACGAUCAGGAGUUAAAUUGAAUGUUCUUGCAAGCUUAUUAUUCCACAAAAUUAUUAGUUCACUUAUAAGGCUAUAAGCCAUAUUUGUCAAAAAAAACAAAAAAAAACUACUCCUUUAGAAAACGGCUCAGCGUUCUCAGGUUCAUAUUCACACCAUAUUCUCUUGUGAACUAGGGGCACAAUUUUCAUCAUUUUCUUUGUCUUACAAGCAUGCAAUCUAGUCAUUUGAAAUUGAUCACUUUAAAGACCAUCCUUGUGUCUCGUUCAUUUUCCUUGAGGUGAACAAGAGUUGAACAUAUUCGGAAGCAAUAAAUAUAACAGUCUUAUAACAGAAUAUCGAUUUAUGAUAAUGUUAGACUGCAGAAAAUGAGAGGAAGUAAUUUUUCACUGACCAAUAUGUAAUAUGUUUUCAUGCUAUUGCGGCCAACACAACAGAGUACAUUGUUUCCCACAUGUUGCAACAAAACACCAAAACUAGGAGACUUCUAACUCUUGACUCCACCCAUUGUUCAAACUUUUUCUUUGUGAUCUUUUUUUAUAAUGAAACACUUUUGUAUUUUUUUCCUUUAUAGUUAAAACUACGAUAUAUACAGCGUUUAGGACUGGGAAACUGCUUUCUUCAAGACGCUGAAGGCAACGAGCAUAAGCAGUGAUAUCAUGAUCUUCUUUGAAGCAAGAAUCCGCAAGUUCACCUUCAUGCCAUGGUCUCUCAUGAGCUUCACUGUUGCCCUAAUUACUGAAAUAAGCCAGAAUACAACGGACAAGAACACCACUUUCAUUGUGUCUGCAGGUCCAUUCACACUUCUUGUGCCUCCCGACACCUCGACAUAGGACCAAGCAGCGCCUUGAUUAUCGGUAGUUCCACUAUGAUUGAGGCCAAGUUUCUCGUUCAACCAACAUGAUAAAGUCACAAGCAGCUUUGCAAGCCAUGCAAUCUCAUCACUGGAGACUGGUCGCUUCAACCAGUCACCCCUGUAUUUCGUACCGGUUUGCUUCUUGUUGCGUAUCAUUCUAGGACUAAAUAUCUCAUCACGUGGAUGCUGAUUUUCUCUUGUCUCGGGGACUGCUUGUGUGUUCCUUGGAGUAGAGUUACCAAAUAAGCACCCCAUCUGGGCUUUGAUAGAAUCUAAACAAGCCAUAUUGUGAGCAUGAUUAUCUCCCAAGAC
rnacentral:lncRNA from 1 species